rnacentral:rRNA from 1 species
UGGCGAAUAGCUCAGUAACACGUGGCCAAACUACCCUUCGGAGCACAAUACCCUCGGGAAACUGAGGCUAAUAGUGCAUACCACAGUCCAGCUGGAAUGAGGACUGUGCCAAACGCUCCGGCGCCGAAGGAUGUGGCUGCGGCCGAUUAGGUAGACGGUGGGGUAACGGCCCACCGUGCCAAUAAUCGGUACGGGUCAUGAGAGUGAGAACCCGGAGACGGAAUCUGAGACAAGAUUCCGGGCCCUACGGGGCGCAGCAGGCGCGAAACCUUUACACUGCACGCCAGUGCGAUAAGGGAAUCCCAAGUGCGCAGGCAUAGAGCCUGCGCUUUUGUACACCGUAGGGAGGUGUACGAAUAAGGGCUGGGCAAGACCGGUGCCAGCCGCCGCGGUAAUACCGGCAGCCCGAGUGAUGGCCGAUCUUAUUGGGCCUAAAGCGUCCGUAGCUGGCCGCACAAGUCCAUCGGAAAAUCCACCCGCCCAACGGGUGGGCGUCCGGUGGAAACUGUGUGGCUUGGGACCGGAAGGCGCGACGGGUACGUCCGGGGUAGGAGUGAAAUCCCGUAAUCCUGGACGGACCGCCGAUGGCGAAAGCACGUCGCGAGGACGGAUCCGACAGUGAGGGAC